UGUUAACAUUCGACAUGUAGAAAGAAGUUUUUUCCUUGUCUGGUCUCAGUGAUUUGUUCGUCAUACGCGGCAUAUUUUUUUGUUUUAAAAAAAUUUAAUUUAGUGAAAAUAGAAUAUACAAGAUUUUAUUAAAAAAUAAGUGUUUUGAUUCAAAACUAAACACUCUAUAAAAACUCAUAAAAAGAAUAAUGUCAAUUAAUGAUUUACCACCGUUACCAAAAAGUCUCAGCGGUAUAAAUAAAAUGUUGGCCUCAGAUUCGGGUCUGGUUAGUGAUGUUGAUACCGAAAUAAAAAUACUAAAAAUAAUGAGUUGUUAAAACACUAUGAAAACCAAAAAGAAAAUAAUAAUAAUUUAAAUAUAAAUAAUAAUAACAACAACAUUAAUAGUAAUAAUAAUAAUAAUGCACUUAAAGAUGCAAGUGAUAAAUUUAACAAUGCGUCGUCUGCGACAACAACGCCAGCAACAGUGACAACAGCAACAACAUCGACAACGACACCAUUAAAGGAAAUUAAUGGCAAUGAAACAAUAUCGGAAAUACCACCAGCGAUACCGGGUAGUAAAUUGGAUA